UAUAACAAGUAAAGAUGGUCCAUUCCAGGCUUGCCAUUCUGUAAUCAACCCAGACAGAUUCUUGAGUGGCUGUGUGUUUGAUCUGUGUGCCCUUGGUGAUACUGCUCUGUGCAAUGCAUUAGAGGCAUAUGGUGAUGCCUGCCAAGGGGCUGGAGUUAGCAUCACUUGGAGAAACUCAACAUUCUGCCCACUCAAGUGUCCUGCCAACAGUCACUAUAAUCCAUGCUCCAGUGCAUGUCCUGACACCUGUCUGAAUCAGAAUCCAUCAAAUAAUUGCAGCAAGCCAUGCAUUGAGAGCUGCCAGUGUGAUGAUGGCUUUGUGCUUAGUGGAACUACCUGUGUUCCUGUCAGUGAUUGUGGAUGCUUUUACAAUGGCAAAUAUUAUCAGAAAGGAGACAUAUUCUGGCAAGGAGACUGUGAAGGACAAUGUACAUGUGUUGGAAAUAACCAUGUGGA